UAGGGAAUCUUCGGCAAUGGACGGAAGUCUGACCGAGCAACGCUGCGUGAGUGAAGAAGGUUUUCGGAUCGUAAAGCUCUGUUGUAAGAGAAGAACGAGUGUGAGAGUGGAAAGUUCACACUGUGACGGUAUCUUACCAGAAAGGGACGGCUAACUACGUGCCAGCAGCCGCGGUAAUACGUAGGUCCCGAGCGUUGUCCGGAUUUAUUGGGCGUAAAGCGAGCGCAGGCGGUUAGAUAAGUCUGAAGUUAAAGGCUGUGGCUUAACCAUAGUACGCUUUGGAAACUGUUUAACUUGAGUGCAAGAGGGGAGAGUGGAAUUCCAUGUGUAGCGGUGAAAUGCGUAGAUAUAUGGAGGAACACCGGUGGCGAAAGCGGCUCUCUGGCUUGUAACUGACGCUGAGGCUCGAAAGCGUGGGGAGCAAACAGGAUUAGAUACCCUGGUAGUCCACGCCGUAAACGAUGAGUGCUAGGUGUUAGACCCUUUCCGGGGUUUAGUGCCGCAGCUAACGCAUUAAGCACUCCGCCUGGGGAGUACGACCGCAAGGUUG
rnacentral:rRNA from 1 species